UACGGGGGGGGCAAGCGUUGUUCGGAAUUACUGGGCGUAAAGGGCGCGUAGGCGGCGCGAUAAGUUGGGCGUGAAAGGCCCGGGCUCAACCCGGGGACUGCGCUUGAUACUGUCGCGCUGUGAGUCCGGGAGAGGAUGGCGGAAUUCCCAGUGUAGAGGUGAAAUUCGUAGAUAUUCGGAAGAACACCAGUGGCGAAGGCGGCUCACUGGACUGGUAUUGACGCUGAAGUGCGAAAGCGUGGGGAGCAAACAGG
rnacentral:rRNA from 1 species